rnacentral:rRNA from 1 species
GACGAACGCUGGCGGCGUGCUUAACACAUGCAAGUCGAACGGAAAGGCCCUGCUUGCAGGGUACUCGAGUGGCGAACGGGUGAGUAACACGUGGGUGAUCUGCCCUGCACUUCGGGAUAAGCCUGGGAAACUGGGUCUAAUACCGGAUAGGAGCCAUUUUCAGUGUGAUGGUUGGAAAGUUUUUUCGGUGUAGGAUGAGCUCGCGGCCUAUCAGCUUGUUGGUGGGGUAAUGGCCUACCAAGGCGGCGACGGGUAGCCGGCCUGAGAGGGUGGACGGCCACAUUGGGACUGAGAUACGGCCCAGACUCCUACGGGAGGCAGCAGUGGGGAAUAUUGCACAAUGGGCGCAAGCCUGAUGCAGCGACGCCGCGUGGGGGAUGACGGCCUUCGGGUUGUAAACUCCUUUCGCUAGGGACGAAGCUUUUUGUGACGGUACCUAGAUAAGAAGCACCGGCUAACUACGUG